rnacentral:rRNA from 1 species
GACGGGGGGGGCAAGUGUUCUUCGGAAUGACUGGGCGUAAAGGGUGCGUAGGUGGCGCCGUAAGUCAGGUGUGAAAUCUCGGGGCUUAACUCCGAAACUGCAUUUGAUACUGCGGUGCUUGAGGACUGGAGAGGAGACUGGAAGUUUACGGUGUAGCAGUGAAAUGCGUAGAGAUCGUAAGGAAGACCGGUGGCGAAGGCGGGUCUCUGGACAGUUCCUGACACUGAGGCACGAAGGCCAGGGGAGCAAACGGG